rnacentral:misc_RNA from 1 species
UUAACUAUUAUAUAGUACUCAGACAUCACUAAACAAACGAGUUUGGGUCCUCUGGCAGGCGCAGUCAGCCGGAGCCAACGCCCCAAGGGGCGGCCUGCCAAAGCAACAAAGGUAUGUAUACACGGUUUGGAAUUACCCAUUUCAAAAAACGGAGCGUUCUUUAAUGAUCCUUCCGCAGGUUCACCUACGGAAA